CAACACCUGGAGCAAAGGCCUCCCCUGCUCAGCCUUGAAGGGAAAGCAGCCCUCCCCGGUUUUCACUCCCUAAUGGUGUGUUUAUAUACGGUAUGGGCCAACUUGGGCCCUCCCUCCAGGUACCACUUUGAUGGCUGAAAAUGAGGAGGAGCAGAGGAGCCUUAUAGCCAAGGUGAAAGAAGAAAGUGCAAAAGCUGGGUUGCAGUUAAACAAAAAACCAGAUGAUGGAAAACGGAAGGAGAAAGGAAGAGGGGCCGACAAAGGGUAAGAUGGAUGGAUGUUAUUUUUGAAUGACUGUCUCAACCUUGAAGGAGCUGGGUGUGACGAAGGCCAAUAAGAGUGGGCUGGUCCAUGAGGUCAUGAAGAGUCUGAACGAAUAACAAUCUUUGGAUUAUUUCAAGUUUUACAGCUGUGCACAUAAAGAAGACGUAGUCCUUAUGACGAAAUGAACUAUGUUGGUGGUUGGAAAUGGAAAGUAGAGCUAUUUUAGGAUUAGGAUUAAUGAUUUGGCAACAUUUUUUUCUUAUAACUGUAAAAUGUUAUCUAGUAUGUAAAUAUAAAACAGACAGUACCAAAAGAGAUACAGGGUGCUGUUUAUAUGUAUAUUCCUGGAGCACCACAUAGCAUCUGUGGCCCCUUCUAUACUGCCGUAUUGAUGAAGGUGUAUUGGGAAAAUAUAAUACUUGUAUUGGAAAAUAUAUAUUGAAUGUAAUCAUGUUAAGAAAUAGGAAAAUAUGUAAUCACCAGCAGAUUGUGUGCUAGCCUUAAAAUACACUCUACUCAGCAAAAGCAAGACCAAAGUUCACUGAGUGCAAGGGACAUAUGUUAAGUGUCAACAAGAAUAGAUAAGCUAAUGGACAAGAGAGAAAUUAAGGCUUUUUGGGAUGUCAAGAUAAGACCUGGCGCCUUGAGGGGAGUGCUAAUGGGUCUCUGACAGCUAAGAUAAGGGGGAACUCCUUAAUUAAUGAGAACCCCUAAAAGCUGAAAUGAGAAUUCCAGAGAUAAGGCUAAUGGAGGGUCAGGGGUCUUGAAAGUAGUCUAUAUUUUAGGAAAAUGCUAAGAUAGCUUUUUAGUAAGUGCACAGUAAGACUUUUUUGACACUAUUUGGUGAUGGAUAAUGCCUAGAUGACGUAGUAGAUGGAGGAAAAAGGGUAUAUAAGAACCUGUGAUUCUUUGUUCCAGUACCUUCGCUUUCCUGACCACAGGAGAUCUUUGCUUAUUGUCUCUGGCCAUUGAGAAUAAACGUCAUUUUUUCUACAGCCA